CCUUCCUGUCAGGUGACGCGGCGCGGCGUUGUGUGGCGUGGCGUGGCGUUUCGCGGCGUGGCGACGCUCCGCUGCUAACGGAGGCCGGCGACGUCGUGCAGCGCGACCGGCUGCCGCCGCCCCGAGAGCGGGGCGUGACGGGCGGGCAGGAGGAGGAGGAGCAGGGGCAGCAGGGGCGCAGCGAGCCCGGCGAGCCCGGCGGCCGCCGCCCCACCAUGAUCAAAGCCAUCCUCAUCUUCAACAACCACGGCAAGCCUCGGCUGUCCAAGUUCUACCACCGCUAUAGUGAAGAUACGCAGCAACAAGUUAUCAGAGAAACUUUCCAUUUAGUAUCGAAACGUGAUGAAAAUGUCUGUAACUUCCUAGAAGGAGGAUUAUUAAUAGGUGGAUCUGAUAACAAACUAAUUUACCGACACUAUGCCACCUUGUAUUUUGUCUUCUGUGUGGAUUCUUCAGAAAGUGAGCUUGGCAUUUUAGACCUCAUACAAGUAUUUGUGGAGACACUAGACAAAUGUUUUGAAAAUGUCUGUGAACUGGAUUUAAUUUUCCAUGUAGACAAGGUCCAUAAUAUAUUGGCUGAAAUGGUCAUGGGUGGAAUGGUUUUGGAGACCAACAUGAAUGAAAUUGUCACUCAGAUUGAUGCUCAAAAUAAACUGGAGAAAUCUGAGUUCAGUGACUGUUUCUUUUCAAGUUUAACAGUUGAGAUACUGUUAUGCUGAGAUACUUCACAAUACCUGACCUUUAUCUUUCAGUCUCCCAGACAGGACAGGUAGACAAAGGCUGGUUUAGCAGGAGCUCCAGCCCGGGCUGUUUCAGCUGUGAAGAAUAUGAAUCUGCCAGAGAUCCCAAGAAAUAUUAAUAUUGGUGACAUCAGUAUAAAAGUACCAAACCUGCCCUCUUUUAGAUAACAUGUCUACUCCAGGUAAAACCACGGAAGAAAUGUAACAGAGAUUUACCACGUAAUUGUUUACUAAAUAAACAACAUGUCUAACUUUUACUAUUUGGAUCAAACUCAAGGUACUGUAUAGACAUAAUUUGAAAAUCUGUGUGGAGUUGAAUGUUGCUUUUGUCUUGUUUGUGAAAUUAAAGGAAAUGGGUAGUUCCCAUGUGAUUUCCAAAUUACAUUCCUAUGCCCUUGUAAGGCAUAUCACUGUGUCUCGGCUGCUACAGUAUUUUGGGAAAGUAUUUAAGAUGUUCUUUACUUUGUAUAACCUAUAAUGCUGAGGUUUUUUGUAUGUUCACUAAAGUCUAUAAUUAGUGCAUUCCUUAACAAUUUCUGCUGUUUGUCAUGAUUAUCUAAGACUUCAGUGCAAAUGUUGCAUGAAAACAUCAAACUCUUGUUUAAGUAAAAUAAUAAACUAGACUUCUAAAUACCUGUUUGUCCGAAAUCUACUCUUUGCAAUAAGUCAUGUUAUUUCCUAUUCAUGGAGCCAGUUGAGUAUAUAUAAAUAUUAUUGUAGCAGGCAUUAAUGUUGUAGCUUAAUCUCUGAAGGAAUUACAUGGGGAUAUUGUGUUGAACAUAUUGCCUCUUCACAUUUCUCACAAAAGCUGUUCAUCAUUAUUCUGAAGGAAAAAUUGCCUUUACUGAACAUCUGAUGACUUCUGUUUACAUAUAGAUGUUGAGAAGACACUUACGCAAUCUGUUAGACUUUCUGAUGGUCUGAUUUGUUUUGAGGAAAAGACCACUGUGUGUUAUGUGAAAAGUGCAGAAUGGGGUGAGGAAAUCGGGCAGCUCAGAACUGUGAGUGUUUUAAGUAGUGUGAUAAAGAAGGGUGCUCUGGAAAGGUAAAUGAGAAUAUUUCAAUAGUGCCUCUGUGCUUGGUGAUAUUUGUGAUACUGUACUUUGAGAAUUAGAUUUAUAAGAUGCUUAGUAUUGUCAAGACCUCAGAAAAUCUAAAUGCAAUCACCUCUGUGUAAGUUGCUCAGCUCUUCAACUCUUCUGUGAUUUAAGCAAAAGUAAAGCAGGUAGCGCUUGUUUUUUAUAAUCAUGCUUUUAAGGUCUGUGUGAUGUACAAGUCUGUUUAAAUAAACAAUAAAAAUAUCACUGGCAUA